GUACUCGCUUCAGCGGUGCGUAUACUAAAACUGGAACAAUACAGAGAUUAGCAUGGGCCCUGCACAAGGAUGACACGCAAAAUCGUGAAGCGUUCCACAUUUUG